GGGCUGGGGCUCAGUGGCAGAGCGCCCGCCUUGCACAUGUGAGGCACUGGGUUCAAUCCUCAGCAUCACA
rnacentral:tRNA from 1 species